UGCCAGCCGCCGCGGUAACACGAACCGUCCAAACGUUAUUCGGUAUCACUGGGCUUAAAGCGUGCGUAGGCGGCCUAGAAGGUGGAGGGUGAAAUCCCACGGCUCAACCGUGGAACUGCCUUCCAAACCACUAGGCUUGAGGAAGAUAGGGGUGAUGGGAACUUAUGGUGGAGCGGUGAAAUGCGUUGAUAUCAUGGGGAACACCGGUGGCGAAAGCGCAUCACUGGAUCUUUUCUGACGCUGAGGCACGAAAGCUAGGGGAGCGAACGGGAUUAGAUA
rnacentral:rRNA from 1 species